GUUGGUGAGGUAAUGGCUCACCAAGGCAAUGACACCUAACUGGUUUGAGAGGAUGAUCAGUCACACUGGAACUGAGACACGGUCCAGACUCCUACGGGAGGCAGCAGUGGGGAAUAUUGCACAAUGGACGAAAGUCUGAUGCAGCAACGCCGCGUGGAGGAUGACACAUUUCGGUGCGUAAACUCCUUUUAUAUAGGAAGAUAAUGACGGUACUAUAUGAAUAAGCACCGGCUAACUCCGUGCCAGCAGCCGCGGUAAUACGGAGGGUGCAAGCGUUACUCGGAAUUACUGGGCGUAAAGAGCGUGUAGGCGGGUAAAUAAGUUGGAAGUGAAAUCCUAUGGCUCAACCAUAGAACUGCUUCCAAAACUGUUAACCUAGAAUGUGGGAGAGGUAGAUGGAAUUUCUGGUGUAGGGGUAAAAUCCGUAGAUAUCAGAAGGAAUACCGAUUGCGAAGGCGAUCUACUGGAACACUAUUGACGCUGAGACGCGAAAGCGUGGGGAGCAAACAGGAUUAGAUACCCUGGUAGUCCACGCCCUAAACGAUGUACACUAGUUGUUGUGAGGCUAGACCUUGCAGUAAUGCAGUUAACACAUUAAGUGUACCGCCUGGGGAGUACGGUCGCAAGAUUAAAACUCAAAGGAAUAGACGGGGACCCGCACAAGCGGUGGAGCAUGUGGUUUAAUUCGACAUACGCGAAGAACCUUACCUGGUCUUGACAUAGAAAGAACUUUCCAGAGAUGGAUUGGUGCCUGCUUGCAGGAGCUUUCAUACAGGUGCUGCACGGCUGUCGUCAGCUCGUGUCGUGAGAUGUUGGGUUAAGUCCCGCAACGAGCGCAACCCUCGUCGUUAGUUGCUAACAGUUCGGCCGAGAACUCUAACGAGACUGCCUACGCAGGUAGGAGGAAGGUGAGGACGACGUCAAGUCAUCAUGGCCCUUACGACCAGGGCUACACACGUGCUACAAUGGGGUAUACAAAGAGCAGCGAUACGGUGACGUGGAGCGAAUCUCAAAAAUGCCUCCCAGUUCGGAUAGUAGUCUGCAACUCGACUACUUGAAGUUGGAAUCGCUAGUAAUCGUAGAUCAGCUAUGCUACGGUGAAUACGUUCCCGGGUCUUGUACUCACCGCCCGUCACACCAUGGGAGUUGAAUUCAUUCGAAGCGGGGAUGCUAAAAUAGCUACCUUCCACAGUGGAUUUAGCGACUGGGGUGAAGUCGAAACAAGGUAACCGUAGGAGAACCUGCGGUUG
rnacentral:rRNA from 1 species